UAAAGUAAAGAAACAAAAAAGUGUUUUUAUUUUUGAAAAGUACAUAUAAUGCCAUUCUGUUUCAUUAUGUUUUAAAAAUUAAAUCAGUUCGAGGUGAGCCGGUUGAUUUUGGUUUCAAUGCAGAUCCAGUAGCUCUGAAGUUGGUACCCCAUAACAAGAUGGUGUUUGGAGCUGGUACGGGAUCAUGUCUACCAAGAUUGAAGUGCAAACGGAACGCUCGUUGUGUUUGAAGUUACAGAUUGGUUUGUUUUGAUUAACGUUUCCACAAUGAAAGCGUGAUGCUCACCAGUCCAAUUCAUGGCAGCAACUGAAAAACAAACGAAACAAAGCAAAAUGGCAUUAUAUGUAUUUUUUGAAAAUAAAAACACUUAGUUUCUUUACUUUAUUUGCCUUUUAUUUAACCUACAAAUGUGUUAGAUCAUUUUGCCUGACCCUGUAUUAUUAAAGGUACAUUUUUACCUGCACUGGGUCCUGCUCUCCACAUCGUAACUCCACCAUGGCAAAACGUGACACUCGAUGCCAGAUAUCACAUACAACAGCAUAACAUUAAAGAGCGAGACAGAAAUGUUAGCAAAACUAGCAUAGGUAGUAUGUGAGCCCCAGCAGCAACAUCACGCGAGAGGCAAUAUCAUGUCCAUGAAGAAGGAGUUAUUGAGGGAGAUAUUAUCAUGCUUGGUGCUCAUCAACACUCUCUACGGACACAUACGCCUCUCCUCUCGUUCAUCCGCUCUUGCCGCUGACAGGAAAAAUAAACUUGACCCCCGCAUCCUGGCGAGACUUGACCUCUGGACCCCAAUAUGGCCUAAACACUCCUCAUUCCAUCCAUCACGCUUUCGCCGCUCUCUCUCCCUCUUAGAAUCUUGCCAAGAACGCUCCAUUGUGUCUAACCUGCACCAUCUAAUGGGAUCCAAUGCAGUCAAACAGUCCAUGUAGAAGAAUCCUGAGCAUCCAGGGAAGAGAAGACCUCUGCGGAUAGUUCAUUCCAGACUGGACCAGAGACAAACAUUCUCCUCACAUAUGUCCACCGUCCUGAUUGGUCUGCUUCGUUGGCUGCCAUGGCGCCGCAGGAGCACAGGAGCUGAUUAAACAUGAGGUCAUCCUGCCCGCCCCCGCCGCCCCGCCACAGGUCUCAUCGUAGCGAGGACCCGCCGCGCCGAUUGACAACUCAAUGAGACGAGCAGCGGCGGGCUUUUACCACGGCUUCAGCCCUUGAGGGGCAAAAAAUGCAGAGCCACCACCCCCGCCGAGGCGCCACUCCACAUCCCCUCCAUUACGUGCCCCCUUUCAUACUGAUCCCAAAGGACACAUUUUUACCAUGCUUCUCUUUUUGGACUGUUUUUAGCAUUUAAACACUGCUGUCAUAUAACACAUUUUGCCACUUGUUGCUAGGCUGAAUUCAAUCAUAAGCCAAUGAAAAGGGAGAUGAAAUUCUUCCCAAAACAGCACAAUAACCAUUGUGAAGCAUGUUUAUGUACACUGUAUGCCUUCAUUUCACAGUUGGAUCGCCACUCUGCUCUGUAUUACAUAUAAUAAUUUUAGAAAGAAAA